rnacentral:rRNA from 1 species
UACAGAGGGUGCAAGCGUUAAUCGGAAUUACUGGGCGUAAAGCGUGCGUAGACGGUUGCGUAAGUCAGAUGUGAAAGCCCCGGGCUCAACCUGGGAAUUGCAUUUGAGACUGCGUAGCUAGGGUGCGGAAGAGGGAAGCGGAAUUUCCGGUGUAGCGGUGAAAUGCGUAGAUAUCGGAAGGAACACCAGUGGCGAAAGCGGCUUCCUGGACAGAGUCUGACGCUGAGGCACGAAAGCUAGGGGAGCAAACAGG